GACGGAGGAUGCAAGUGUUAUCCGGAAUUACUGGGCGUAAAGCGUCUGUAGGUUGUUUAGAAAGUCUCCUGUUAAAGCUUGGAGCUCAACUUCAAAUCUGCAGUAGAAACUAUUAAACUAGAGUUUGGUAGGGGUAGAGGGAAUUUCCAGUGAAGCGGUGAAAUGUGUAGAUAUUGGAAAGACCACCAAUGGCGAAGGCACUCUACUGGGCCAAUACUGACACUGAGAGACGAAAGCUAGGGGAGCAAAUGGG
rnacentral:rRNA from 1 species